GCAGCCUUUCCACCAAAAAUGGUAACGGCAGCAACCCCCCUCCAUGUUUAUGAGAUCCGAUAAAUCCUCCACCAAUCACCAGUGCCAAAUCAGUUCCUUGCCGUGCCUAAUUCACCUUCCCAUCCUUGGCACUAGCGGAUUCGUAGCCUCCAGUCCUUCAGCCUCUCCAUCCGAUUUGGCGCAAAUGCCUCCAGGGAGGAAGGGGCAACGAUGCACAAGGGAAACCCCAGGCCAGAGCCACGUAUUCAAGCUGCUAAGUUUGCAUGAGAGGGUGGUAUUCACGUUUUUUUGUCUUUCUCUUCAAAGCUUUCUCCUGUCGGAAGCAGUUAUCAAGCUUGAUUUCAAGGAAAGUUGUGUGAAGAACAAACUUAAUCGUAAAAAUGUACAAUAUCAACAAUGCACAUGCUCUCAGUCCUACAUUGCAAAGGCUAUUAUAUUGGUAAGAAAAUAACCAUUGUUUACUUAUCUACAUAGUUGAAUGAUACGUGAAUGUGUAAUAUUGCCAAUAUAGUCAGUUUAUCAUCUCUGUUACCUCAUAUAGUUGCCCCAGGUUGUUUCAUUUGUGUUCACUUACAUUUCUUGAUUAUGAAACAACCUUUAUUUUAUGUGCAUAGUUGAAUAAUCUAUGAAUGUGUAAUGCUGCAAAUGAACACCCAUAACCAUUUAAAGAGGUGGUUAUUACGUGUGCUUGCCUCCAUUAAUCAGAGAUCAUGUCUCCUAAAUAAUUUAUAUUGUAGUGUUAAUAGUUGACUAACAGUUCAUCCACCAAACUAUAAUAUUUUAGGUUGUAGCUACGUUACCUACAAGUAUCCUAAUCCUCCUUAUUUGAGCAUUGUGCAGCUCCUCAUGCUCUUUCUCUAAAAAGUCCAUUUACAUAUUCAUCAAGUACUGAAUAGACAGAACAAUAAUAACAGAUAAUGUAUAGCUUGUUGUUUUUCUAUUUAUGUUUUCGACUCUAACAUCUCUAUUUAUGUAAUCGACUCUAACAUCUCUCUAGCAUUUAAAUAUAUGUAUAGCUUGCUAAAGCAUUUAGAUAUGCAGUAAUCGACUCUAACAUCUCUGUUUCUGUUUCUGUAUACCAAAGCACAAUUUAACAUGGAAGAAAUGGUAGCAGCACCAUUUCAGGAUGGACAACAACCAAAAUCUCCUACAGAAGUUGUUUCUAAUGUGCUACUGGGCUCCAGUGUGUUCCUACACAAUGUUGGUCUUCAGUCUGCCUCCAAGAAAAGCUCCACAACAACUGUUUCGGCAAUGGCUCAACAACUUCAGGAUGAACUAGAGAUCGAGAAGCAAGAAAAAGAUGGCCUUCAGGAAGAAGUGGAAACCUUGAAGGCUUAAGCACAAGCAUCUCAGGAGACCACUGAUAGUAUGAAGAGGUCGAUGGAAGAAAAUAACAACCUCCUUCGUCUACUAUUAAGCUUCAAUCGAGGCCAAGUGCCUCCAUCUUAAGUCUGGUUGACCACUAUAGGACCUGCAGCCUUAUGGCUGCUAUAGUGGCUAGCAAUAGUAGCUCUAGAUUUGAAGUUAUCGGAUCAUUUUAAAUUAUGCUUAAUGUUUAAUACUUUGAGUUGAAGUUAUUGGAUUUGUUUUGGAUUUUAAGUUAAAGGAUUUGCAGAUAUAUGUUUUAAAGUUAUAUUAUUCUCUGCUAGAUGAAA